UAGGAACCUGUCAACAUGCCAGAAACUUCUGUUUGGGAGCAAAGGGUUAAUAAGUCCCCUCUCCUUGUGCACAGAAUCUGACCUUCAGUUCUAGCCCGUUCCCUGGUAACAUGAGAGAAGUGAAAAGUCAGCUGUGUUACUAGGCAACACUGCACUGGGCCUCUGGGAGGUCUGCAGGAACUCCUGAGCCCGUAGCUCUGGGCCCCCCUAGUGUGGCUGCAUGCCGCCUGCCAGAACCCGAAGCUGGGCUUGCUGAAUUGCUACCAGGGGUCCUUCCAACUGAAUCUGUAGCCAAGGAUGGCCUGUGGCUGCCCUAUCAGUACAACAAUGCUUAGCUGAAACUGAGAAGACUCGAGGUGACUGCUUUACAGCUUUCUCUGAUGACACGGGAGGCUGCUCAGCUGCAAAGGCACAACCAAGUGCACAACUGAACCUGCUGGGCACUGUGUAGAAAACAAACGUGAGACCACUCUGAGGUGGGGAGGGGAGAAGAUGGGCCUGCUGUGGGCCUCACCUGCAAGACCAAGAAAUGACAUGGCGUCCUCAGGAGUCACCAAUCUGGCUGACACCCUCAUCUCAGACUUCUGGCCUCCAGAACCGUGAGAUGAUAAAUUUGUUGGUCGAGCCACUAAGUGUGUGGUACUUUGUGAUGGCAUCCCUAGUAAACGAAUACACCCUUACGAAGAGGAUGACAAGACAGCUACAGAUUAGGAGACAAUAUCUGCAAACCACAUACCUGACAAAGAACUACUGUCUGGAAUAUAUAAUCUCAAAAAACUCAAAAGAAAGAAAGCAAACAACGCAAUUAGAAUCUAGGCAAAGACAUAGACACUUAACUGAAGAAAAUAAGCAGACGGCAAAUAAACAUGUGAAAAGACGUCCAAAAUCAUUAAUCAUAUGGUCUCAUUCAUUUGGGGAAUAUAAAAAUUAGUGAAAGGGAAUAAAGGGAAAGGAGAGAAAA